rnacentral:ncRNA from 2 species
AACGACAAUGGUGAUGAGGCUCACCGUGCUUUUGUGCAGAACCGCCGCCCGUCGCGACUAAUGGCCUCUGGCUAAUG